AAUCAACGCUGGCGGCGUGCCUAACACAUGCAAGUCGCACGAGAAAGGGUCUUCGGAUCUGAGUAAAGUGGCGCACGGGUGAGUAACACGUGAAUUAUCUACCUUCGAGUGGGGAAUAACUUCGGGAAACCGAGGCUAAUACCGCAUAAUAUCUACGGAUCAAAGCAGUAAUGCGCUUGAAGAGGAGUUCGCGGCAGAUUAGUUAGUUGGCGGGGUAAUGGCCCACCAAGACGAUGAUCUGUAUCCGGCCUGAGAGGGCGCACGGACACACUGGAACGGAAACACGGUCCAGACUCCUACGGGAGGCAGGAGUGGGGAAUUUUGCGCAAUGGGGGAAACCCUGACGCAGCAACGCCGCGUGGAGGAUGAAGUCUCUUGGGACGUAAACUCCUUUCGAUAGGGAAGAUUAUGACGGUACCUAUAGAAGAAGCCCCGGCUAACUUCGUGCCAGCAGCCGCCGUAA
rnacentral:rRNA from 1 species